rnacentral:rRNA from 1 species
GACGAACGCUGGCGGCGUGCUUAACACAUGCAAGUCGAACGGAAAGGCCCUGCUUUUGUGGGGUGCUCGAGUGGCGAACGGGUGAGUAACACGUGAGUAACCUGCCCUUGACUUUGGGAUAACUUCAGGAAACUGGGGCUAAUACCGGAUAGGAGCUCCUGCUGCAUGGUGGGGGUUGGAAAGUUUCGGCGGUUGGGGAUGGGCUAGCGGCUUCUCAGCUUGUUGGUGGGGUGGUGGCUUACCAAGGCUUUGGCGGGUAGGCGGCCCGAAGGGGUGACGGGCCGACAUAGGGGUGAGGAGACGACCAGGAGACUACCGGGGGGGGCAGGGGGGGAGAAUGUCACACAGGGGGAAACCGGAUGACGGAACACCGCCGGGGGGAAGUAAGACGUCGAGGUGUUAAGCCCCUUUUUCCGUGGAGAAGACAGAAUGACGGUAAUUGGUGAAAAAGCAACGGCUAACUAAGUG